rnacentral:rRNA from 1 species
UACGGGGGGAGCAAGCGUUGUUCGGAUUUACUGGGCGUAAAGGGCGCGUAGGCGGCCAGCACAAGUCAGUUGUGAAAUCUCCGGGCUUAACUCGGAAAGGUCAACUGAUACUGUGCGACUAGAGUGCGGAAGGGGCAACUGGAAUUCUCGGUGUAGCGGUGAAAUGCGUAGAUAUCGAGAGGAACACCUGCGGCGAAGGCGGUUCUCUGGGACGGUACUGACGCUGAGACGCGAAAGCGUGGGGAGCGAACAGG